UACGUAGGGGCCGAGCGUUGUCCGGAUUUAUUGGGCGUAAAGCGCGCGCAGGCGGCUUGGCGCGCCCGACGUGAAAGCCCCCGGCUUAACCGGGGAGGGUCGUCGGGUACGGUCAGGCUUGAGGGCGGGAGAGGGUGGUGGAAUUCCCGGUGUAGUGGUGAAAUGCGUAGAGAUCGGGAGGAACACCUGUGGCGAAGGCGGCCACCUGGGCCGACCCUGACGCUGAGGCGCGAAGGCGUGGGGAGCAAACAGG
rnacentral:rRNA from 1 species